rnacentral:lncRNA from 1 species
GCUGGUACAGUUCAACUCAAGAUGCUAGAUAGAACAAAAUAUGUAAGUAAAUUAAAAUGGCUUCUCACAACCGCCCUAUGACAGACUAAACCAUUAUAUCACAACCUCGAACAAAUAAUUCAACCGUGUAAGAAAUCAGUUAGAGGCAUGCCAAAAUGUUACAAUCAUAGGUUACUCUGUAUUUUUAGGCAAGAAUAACUAGUAUUUAAUAGGAGAAAACACCUCAGUAUAAGAAUCCAUAAAGCUACUGAAAAACUGAAGCAAGCCAUCUGCUAGAGUAUUCCUUUGUGCUUGACCACAUUGAUAUACUGUCAGAAGCACUUUGUAUGUCAAGGACCACACUUUGUAUUAAUCAAAUUCUCAGGUGGUAACUUCAUAGUGUGUAAAACUCAUUAUUGACCUAGAAAGAAUGUAUAAAAACUUUUAAUGAGGCUAGUAACCGAGGCAUAUGAUUUUCAUAUGGGCGAGGGCAUUUUUCGAUGAGCCAAGAAUAACUAGCAUUUAAUAGGAGAAAACACCUCGGUAUAAGAAUCCAUAAAGCUAUCGAAAAAAAUGAAGUAAGUCAUCUGCUAGAAUAUUCCUUGGUGUGUGACCACGUUGAUGGACUGUCAGAAGCACUUUGUAUGUCAAGGGCCACACUUGGUAUUAAUCAAAUUCUUAGGUGGUAACUUCAUGGUGUGUAAUACUCAUUAUUGACCUAGGAAGAAUAUAUAAAAAGCUUUUAAUGAGACUAGUAGCCGGGGUACAUGAUUUUCAUAUAGGCGAGGGCAUUUUUCGAUGGUAGUGACCUACUUGCCGACUUACUCAUUCAAGUUAUGAACGGUUCCUUGAUAAGCUUGAUGGACAAUUUCUUUAGCUAUACAUACUUUCCAGAUCAUAACAGAUAAAGGUGAGGAAACUUUUUGAUGACCUUGGAAUCACUCUCAUCAAUACUUGGAGGGACAAAGGAAAUUUGAUUUGGGGUGUUUUAGUUAUGUUUAAGAAAUGUUCCACUUUAGUUGUUUUUGACAUUUAGGCUCAUUUGAUACUUGUUUCAUAUUCGGAGCAAAAACACGACUUCACAUUAAUCAUAGAAUAGAUAAUAAAAGGCAACACAACAGCAAAAACCAGCGUCACAAUAGCAGAAUUAGUCUU